rnacentral:misc_RNA from 1 species
ACCUAUGUUAAAGAUACUAAGAUAUAAUACUAAAUCAUGUUCACUAAUUUCUUUAAUUUUCUGUGUUAAAUUACUUGCAUAACCUAUAAAUUUGUCAGUCAAGUAAUAUGGCUUCUUGGAUCACAGUGACACCGCGGCUUGAACAAGGUUUGAAAAUAGCAAAUCAGAUAGACAACAGUAAAUUUCGCUUGUUAAUAAAUCGUAUUUGUCAAACGCUUCAAUCAAAUAUUAAUACAAAAAUAUUCAAUGAAGAGGAAGAAGAAAAACUAUUAAUUUCUUUGGAUUUAAAUAAAAAUGAUUUAGUUUGUCUUUUAGAUACAAUAAUAUUAAUUUAUAAACAAGCUGCUUGCAAUAUUGUAAAACCACAAUUAAUGGAAAAUACUUUAAAGAAUACUUUUAAAACAGAUGAUGAUAAAUGUUUAAUAUUUUUAAAUGCAUGGUUUACAUAUGGUAAAGGUAUAAUUGAUCAUUUUAGACAAAUGUCUAUUUUUCCUGUUCAGGUUAAGGACAUCGAUUGGAGUUUAAAUAUUCAAGCUGCAUCUUCAACUAUUAAAAAGGAUGUGCGACCAAUGGCAUUAUUGCAAUUAAAUUUAACAGGAGAAGACGAAUCUAAAUUAACCCUGGAAUUUGAUAAAAAAGAACUCAUAGAUUUAUAUCACAAUUUAGAGAGAAUACAAUCACAAUUGGAUGCUUUUAAAUAAUAGAGUAUUCAGUGUACGUGUAUUUGCAUCAAAGACGAUGGGAAUCAGAAACAAGUUGCAAUGAUGUUUUCAUAUUAUUAUUUAUUUAAAGAAAUAUGGUUUACAAUGCCGAAGAGACUGACACUCAAACGCGCACGUACGAUCCACCGAUCACACCUCGGUGCAGAUUCUUGAAUUGUUCACGUUGGAAACUUAACAGUAACUCAAUGGCACACGAAGGUGAUGGUCGAUCGAGUGACAGCAAUGAAAACGCAACAUUAUUCGAAACGAAGAUAAAUAUUUCAAAGGGGACGCUUAACAGUAAGAAUUGUCUUAGCGUUAAUUUUAACAUGUGGCUGUUAUAUAUAAUGAGCAUCAGCAGUAAAAUGGGUAUCGUAGUAUUCUAAUAAAAAAAAAAA